GUGGCGGAACCGGUUCGGUUCGGCGGGGUUCAUGCGGGUGGCGCUGCGGGUUGUGGGGGCUCUGCUCGGUACCGCGCGGCGGAACGCGGCCUGCAGAGCCAUGGCCGGGUACAGCUCCGCCUCCACCGCCGGGAUCAUCAUUAUCGGGGAUGAGAUCCUCAAGGGCCACACUCAGGACACGAACUCCUUCUUCAUGUGCCGGCGGCUGCGUGCGCUGGGUGUGCGCGUGGCCCGCGUCUCCGUGGUGCCCGACGAGGUGGACGCCAUCGCUGCUGAAGUGGCCGCCUUCGCCUCCCGCUUCACCUUUGUGCUGACCUCGGGGGGCAUUGGCCCCACGCACGACGACGUCACUUUCGAGGCCGUGGCCAAAGCUUUUGGGGAGAAGGUGGCCCCACACCCGGAGCUGGUGGCCCUGGUGCAUAAAUUCUUCGGCAAGACGGACAUGCAGUGCCCUGAGAUGAAGCUGGCUCGCAUCCCUGAAUCCUCACGCCUCAACUAUGGCACAGACCGACUCACAGGCAGUGCCUUCAAGUAUCCUCUGGUCAGCGUCCGUAACGUCUACAUCUUCCCAGGCAUCCCAGCACUGAUGGAACGUGCCCUGGAUGGCCUCAGCCAUCUUUUCCGCAGUGAGCAGACCUGCUUCCACUCCCGUGCCAUCUACGUGGCAGCUGAUGAGGUGCAGAUUGCUCCCGUGCUGGAUCAGGCCAACGCCAGCUUUCAGGACCGCGUGAGUUUGGGUUCCUACCCGGACUGGGCCAACAAUUAUUACCGUGUGAAGCUGACGCUGGACUCGGAAUCGGAGCAGCACCUGGAGGAGGCACACGGCUUCCUGAUGGAGAAGCUGCCGCCUGGCGUGGUGGUGCCAUUGGUGACUGACUGCGUCUCGAGGGCUUCCACUGAGGUCUAUGCCCUGGCUGAGUCAGGCUUGGCUCUGGGACAGAAGGUGGCAGCAGCACUGAGGACUAUCGAGGAGGCUUUGGAGCGGUACAGCCUAGCGCAGCUCUGCGUGGGUUUCAACGGGGGCAAGGACUGCACAGCCCUGCUGCACCUGGUCCACGCUGCCGUGGAGAGGCGGUACCCGGAGAGGCAGGAGAAGCUGAAGGUGCUCUACAUCCGCAUCGUGUCUCCCUUCCCUGAAAUGGAGCAGUUCAUCCAGGCCACCGUGCGGAGGUACAAGAUCCAGCUGUGCACGGUGGAGGGCUCCAUCCGGGACGCCCUGCUCACCCUGAAGGAGCAGCAGCCGCAGCUGGAGGCCGUCCUGAUGGGCACGCGGCGCACCGACCCCUACUCGUGCACCCUGACCCCCAUGUGCAUGACGGACCCCGAUUGGCCCCAGUACAUGCGGGUGAACCCACUGCUGGUAUGCUGCUGCCAUCUGGGAUGGGGACAGGGCUGUUCCUGCUUGUCUGGGAGUGAGUUUGGAGUGAAUCCUCAUCCUUGGGGGCUUCUCUGCCCAGUUCUCCUCUCCUUAGGGCCUUGUUGCCCAGCUGUGGCCCUGCAGUGGGGACACCCACUGCUGCUGCCGGUGAUUGAGGCUCAUUCCUGCCCAGCUGUGGCUUUUGCCGUGUUCAGGGAGGGACGGAUGCGCUCUGGGGCUCUGGGCAGAGGGCAGUGGAUGCUGGCUGGGCUCCACACGUGCUGAGCUGGAGCCGAGUGCCUUCCCUGAGACAAGGGGCAGCCACUGCAUCCACCUCUGCAGCGAUCCCUGCCCAAUUCUGCCCGCAGGACUGGACAUACAGGGACAUCUGGGAGUUCCUGCGCAAGCUCUUUGUCCCCUACUGCAUCCUCUACGACAAGGGCUACACCUCCCUGGGGAGCAUGGCC